rnacentral:siRNA from 1 species
ACCUCGCUCUCCACUACUUUUAGA